rnacentral:rRNA from 1 species
GAUGAACGCUGGCGGCGUGCCUAAUACAUGCAAGUCGAGCGAACAGACGAGGAGCUUGCUCCUCGGACGUUAGCGGCGGACAGGUGAGUAACACGUGGAUAACCUACCUAUAAGACUGGGAUCACUUCGGGAAACCGGAGCUAAUACCGGAUAAUAUAUUGAACCGCAUGGUUCAAUAGUGAAAGACGGUUUUGCUGUCACUUAUAGAUGGAUCCGCGCCGCAUUAGCUAGUUGGUAAGGUAACGGCUUACCAAGGCGACGAUGCGUAGCCGACCUGAGAGGGUGAUCGGCCACACUGGAGCGGAGACAGGGACCAGACGCCUACGGGAGGCAGCAGUAGGGAAUCUUCCGCAAUGGGCGGAAGCCUUGCGGAGCAACGCCGCGUGAGUGAUGAAGGUCUUCGGAUCGUAAAACUCUGUUAUUAGGGAAGAACAAAUGUGUAAGUAACUAUGCACGUCUUGACGGUACCUGAUCAGAAAGCCACGGCUAACUACGUG